rnacentral:rRNA from 1 species
UACGUAGGGUGCAAGCGUUGUCCGGAAUUAUUGGGCGUAAAGAGCUCGUAGGCGGUUUGUCGCGUCUGCUGUGAAAACUCGGGGCUUAACUCCGGGCCUGCAGUGGGUACGGGCAGACUAGAGUGCGGUAGGGGAGACUGGAAUUCCUGGUGUAGCGGUGAAAUGCGCAGAUAUCAGGAGGAACACCGGUGGCGAAGGCAGGUCUCUGGGCUGACACUGACGCUCAUGCACGAAAGCGUGGGGAGCAGACAGG